rnacentral:rRNA from 2 species
UUUGGUGGCGAUAGCGAAGAGGUCACACCCGUUCCCAUGCCGAACACGGAAGUUAAGCUCUUCAGCGUCGAUGGUAGUCGGGGGUUUCCCCCUGUGAGAGUAGGACGCCGCCAAGC